GUCCUCUUUGGAUUGCGGGUAGAUGGAGAGUCACUAUACACUCGGUACGAGCCUCCUCCUGGUCAGACGUGGGCGACAGAGUUGACUAGGCUCACCCACUUCGUGCCUGAUGCCGAGGGCCAGAUUUCGGGACAGAGUCGGGUUAAGAUUAGUGCACUCUGCACUUAUUUGGAGGGUCUGGAUCCGGUUGACGACGGCACCCCGCAGGACGAUGUUGAUCAUCAUGCCCGUUUGUACCUGCUUAUUAUAUUCGGGGGUAUCUUGUUCCCGAACUCAUCGGGUGCCUUUGUCAGCUUACGUUAUUUGGUUUUCUUGGAGCAUCUGGACACUUUGGGAGACUACAGCUGGGGUGGUCUUUGUUUUGGCGUAUCUUUACAUAUGCCUGUGCCGAGCGUCUAUUGGUGUUGUCAGAGAUGUGUGUGGAUUUUUUGCUCUUCUCCAGUUAUGGGCGUGGGAGAGGAUGCUGCCUUUUCAGCCCGUACCUAGGCAUCACCUUGAGAUUGACAUGCCUUAUGCGAGGAGGUGGAUAGCGGGUUUUGACCGGGAUGUGGAUACGCACCACAGUAUUCUUCCAUUCCGGGACUAGCUUGAUCACAUGACGGACGAUGCGCUAUUUAUAUGGACGUCGUACGCUGCUAUAUUAGAUGGUUUGCCGCCCUUCUGUAGGGCAGGUCAGGGGUUUGGAGGUCGCGGUAUCCAUUGAUACACCUGGACAUCGUAGAGGAUCACAUGCCCGAGCGUGUCUUACGACAGUUUGGGCAUACACAGAGUAUACCCCCUGACGUCCGCCAUGAGCUCCGACACUACCAGCGGGACAAUCGGGCUACCGUUGAUGAUGAUUUUCUGGCUUUCAUGAAUGUCCAACUCCACCGUUGGGAGAAUAGGUUGGGCACUUUAGCGGUGGUCGGCCAUUUGACUCUCAUUGAGCAUUACAUGCGUUGGUAUCAUCAGAUCACACGCCGAUUGAUUGGCAACCCAGCUUUGCGUCCCCCAAGGGAUGUAGGAUACUCAGCACUCGCGGGGCAGUACGAGGCAUUGCUGGUGGCCGUACAGCGUUUACGCAUCUUGGGGUUAGAGCAUAUGCCUUACCUUGCGCUUGCGGGGCUUGCGGCGGAGAUGGU